rnacentral:misc_RNA from 1 species
GAUGAAGAACGCAGCGAAAUGCGAUAAGUAAUGUGAAUUGCAGAAUUCAGUGAAUCAUCGAAUCUUUGAACGCACAUUGCGCCCGUCAGUAUUCUGGCGGGCAUGCCUGUCCGAGCGUCAUUUCAACCCUCGAACCCCUCCGGGGGGUCGGCGUUGGGGACCUCGGGAGCCCCUAAGACGGGAUCCCGGCCCCGAAAUACAGUGGCGGUCUCGCCGCAGCCUCUCCUGCGCAGUAGUUUGCACAACUCGCACCGGGAGCGCGGCGCGUCCACGUCCGUAAAACACCCAACUUCUGAAAUGUUGACCUCGGAUCAGGUAGGAAUACCCGCUGAACUUAAGCAUAUCAAUAAGCGGAGGA